rnacentral:rRNA from 1 species
CCUACGGGGGGCAGCAGUGGGGGAUAUUGCACAAUGGGGGGAACCCUGAUGCGGCGACGCCGCGUGGGCGAUGGAGUGCUUCGGCAUGUAAAGCCCUAUCAGCAGGGAAGAAAAUGACGGUACCUGACUAAGAAGCCCCGGCUAACUACGUGCCAGCAGCCGCGGUAAUACGUAGGGGGCAAGCGUUAUCCGGAUUUACUGGGUGUAAAGGGAGCGUAGACGGCGGCGCAAGUCCGGAGUGAAAGCCCACGGCCCAACCGUGGGACUGCUCUGGAAACUGUGCGGCUUGAGUGCGGGGAGGGCAG